UUCACAUAAUUCAGUUAUACUGAGCUAAUAGCCGGAGAAAGUAAUAGAGUAGACAUGUCUGUCUUUCUUAAACUCUCUAAGCCUUUGGCUCAAAAGAAGGACGGUAAAACAAUUCAAGAAUCUCAUGAGUACCUCCAGGUUGACUGUGUAGAGAUGUUGAACUGUUUGUCUGAAUAUUUGGAUGUUGACUUAUAAAGAGAACAAUUUUCAGAGACGUAUAUACAGGAUGAUAAUAAAAAUCAGGAAAACAGGAAAACUUGGACAUGCGGCAUAAAACCCAUCAAAGUAACCCCUCGGUAAAUCCAAGAAGCAGGAAAAGUUAUACCCACUUUGGUUGUAACAGGUUUUACAUUAUUGAUCGUAGUAGUAACCAAUUGUCUUUACCUUCACAAACUACAAAUACAAGCAACCUGAAGAUUCAGAAAAAUGUUGAAUCUGCAGGUUGUUCCUCUGGCAUUGUCAAUCAUGACAACUAACAGCUGCCUUUGGCUCCAAAAACAGCAGAAAUAGGCAACCAAAACAGCAUCCAGGCUAAUGCUUAACCUUCAGGGGGAAAAGUAAGCAAAGGAAGAAAGCAAGUCCCAAUGACACUUGAUUGCCAGGGAGAGGUGCAGUUGGCUAAUCCUCACAUUCCUGAACCACAAAGCACAACACUCACACGUGGCAAUACAGAAAGAAAGGAGGCUGCUGAAGUACAAAAGGAGUGUGCAGAGGAGAGGCAAGGGCAUCAGAGAACUUCGGAACAGAAUGAAAAGGAUUGAAGGAGAGUGCAGGCUUAUCGAUCGCCUUGCUUGAUUUACCAUUUCUAAUCUAAGUAAUAGGAGCAACAAUAGUCAUUUCCAGUUUUCCAGAACUGAACUGGAUUUGUAUUGCUGAAUACUUUGUCAUUUUACAUUCAGUACUCAAUAUAGUAUUACAAUUUCCAGAAUCA